GAUUACGACUGCGGGGAGGCGGGCGGUCCGAAAUUUCUUUCAUUUUCUUCCAACAUGAUUCAGUUAUGCGCAAAUUCUCAAUGAAUCUGGUCUGCUUGUGAUGACUGAUGUCUGAUGAAGUUAUGGUUAGUGAAAGCCUGUGCGAAUUUGACGAGGGAUUGCAGAUAGAUUUUCAACAAGUGCUAUUCGGAGAUAGUCAAAACAAGGCUGUACGGCUUCAGUUCAGAGGAGAGAAGAUAUUGAGAGCUGCAAUGGAAGAUUAUAAGUCCAAGCCUCCAAGGGGAUGCGUAAUGCCAAAUAGAACAUUCAUCAAGGGUAUCCAACAGAGACUUUGAUACGCUUUCUUAAAAGCCACGGAUUGGAAUAUUCAGAUAGCUCAAAAAAAUGCAGCUUUUUCCUAAUGGAAUGAGGGAAUCAGAACAAAGACAUGUAACACUCUCAGAAUUAGUGCACAAGAGGAAGGUGCUUUGAUAGAGCUCUCUAAUUGUGACAACAACACCUGCUUUAUUAGACGUGCUUAUGGCUGCUGACAAGUUUGAGGUUGCCUCCUGCAUGAGGUAUUGUAGUAGCAUGACCCCUGAUUCCGCUCUGCUCUAUCUCGAGCUCCCCUCUAGUGUUUUAAUGGCUGAAGCAUCCAACCUCUAACCGAUGCAGCAAAGCAGUUCCUUGCCUACAACAGCCUACAGGUAACCGCUGUCUAGCUUGUUUUAAAAUUUAAACCAAACCCUGCGACACACCUAGAAGCUUUGAAAGAUAAUUAAAAAAUAUAUUUAGUAAUUAGUAAAUACUAACUAGAUAUUAGAAGAUUUAGUCGUUUAGAGUUUGUUUAAAAGCUGCAAACCCUAAAUAGUUUAGCAUAAUUCAUUGGCUAAUUGCUUUGCUUGACAACACACACGACUUCAUCUCUCUACACACGACUUCAUCGAGACACACCAAAACCUCAAAGUCCUCAAAAUCUUUACACGACUCCAGUCCUCAAAGUUUAUCGUGAUGGAUUCAAAUGAUUCUUAUGAUCUGAGAUCAAUAGACUUAGAGUCUCAAAGAGUAAUUGAUGAUGCAAAUGCUCAAGAAGAACAUAAUAUGUUUGAUAGAGCAGAGCCAUCUACAAGUCGUAAGAGAGCAGCGAUUCAUAUUGAUGUAGAUGAUGUUGAAAAGGACUAAGGAAAGACAUCAUCAUCAGAACCGAAGAAGAGAAAGCAGAAUAAGUACAUAAGCCGUCUUCUCCCAAAAAAUGUUCAAGCACUAAUAUGCUGCGGCAAUUGGUUAAAAGGUUUUGAAGAUAUGAAAAUGAGGAGGAUGAAGAAUUUGAUGAAGAUGAGAUAUUACCUUCUUUCCAGUCAAUUGUUGAUGAUGAAGCUUGAUUUGGUUGAAGAGACAUCUUGACCUUGAGAUUUAUGUUUUCAGCUUUCCAUUUCAGUUUAAUAUUUUGAUUUAAUGUUUCAGUUUAAUACUUUGGUUUAAUACUUUCAGUUUACUAUUUAUUUGAUUUACAUUUCAGUUUAAACA